UAGUAACGGCGAGUGAAGCGGCAAUAGCUCAAAUUUGAAAUCUGGUCUCCUUUGGGGGCCCGAGUUGUAAUUUGCAGAGGGCGCUUUGGCGUUGACAGCGGUCUAAGUUCCUUGGAACAGGACGUCACAGAGGGUGAGAAUCCCGUACGUGGUCGCCUGUCUUCGCCGUGUAAAGCCCCUUCGACGAGUCGAGUUGUUUGGGAAUGCAGCUCUAAAUGGGAGGUAAAUUUCUUCUAAAGCUAAAUACUGGCCAGAGACCGAUAGCGCACAAGUAGAGUGAUCGAAAGAUGAAAAGCACUUUGGAAAGAGAGUCAAACAGCACGUGAAAUUGUUGAAAGGGAAGCGCUUGCAGCCAGACGUGCCCGUGGUGGUUCUCCUCCGCGGGCAGGCCAGCAUCAGUUCGGGCGGUCGGAUAAAGGCCUCUGUCACGUAUCUACCUUCGGGUUGACCUUAUAGGGGAGGCGUAAUGCGAUCAGCUCGGACUGAGGUCCGCGCAUCUGCUAGGAUGCUGGCGUAAUGGCUGUAAGCGGCCCGUCUUGAAACACGGACCAAGGAGUCUAACAUCUAUGCGAGUGUUUGGGUGUCAAGCCCGGGCGCGCAAUGAAAGUGAACGGAGGUGGGAACCCUUUCUUGGGGUGCACCAUCGACCGAUCCUGAAGUCUUCGGAUGGAUUUGAGUAAGAGCAUAGCUGUUGGGACCCGAAAGAUGGUGAACUAUGCUUGAAUAGGGUGAAGCCAGAGGAAACUCUGGUGGAGGCUCGCAGCGGUUCUGACGUGC
rnacentral:rRNA from 1 species